GACGAACGCUGGCGGCGUGCUUAACACAUGCAAGUCGAACGGAAAGGCCCUGCUUUUGUGGGGUGCUCGAGUGGCGAACGGGUGAGUAACACGUGAGUAACCUGCCCUUGACUUUGGGAUAACUUCAGGAAACUGGGGCUAAUACCGGAUAGGAGCUCCUGCUGCAUGGUGGGGGUUGGAAAGUUUCGGCGGUUGGGGAUGGACUCGCGGCGUAUCAGCUUGUUGGUGGGGUAGUGGCUUACCAAGGCUUUGACGGGUAGCCGGCCUGAGAGGGGGACCGGCCACACGGGAAGGGAGACACGGGCGAGAGGCCUACGGGAGGCAGCAGGAGGGAACCUGGCGAAAGGGGCGAAAGAGGGACGGAGCAACGGCGCGUGAGGGAUGAAGGCCGGCGGAGCGGAAAACGAUGUUAUGAGGGAAGAACAAAUGGGUAAGGAACUAUGCAGGGCUGGACGGUACAUAAUAAGAAAGCCACGGCUAACUACGGG
rnacentral:rRNA from 1 species